UGUAACUCUUUAAUUGCAUCUUGUGAAAUGUUUAUUAUGUAUUGUUUUUUCUUUGAUUAAUUCAACAAGAAUUAUAUGAUAUUGGCAAACUACUACUCUGAAUUGAUGGUUUUAUCUUUGAAAAUUAUAAUUCGGAUGAGGGUUAUUAAAUUGUUUAUGUUAUAGGUUUGUAAUAUCUUGAUUGCAUAUAUAUAAAUUGUGCAAAGUGUUUGUUAUCUAAAAUCUAUUAAGGAUUUUGCGUUUGUAAUACUUUAGGGGAAAGAUUAGACCAGCAGUUUCUUUUUUCCUUCUAAAAAUUUUAACUUUGAUAUUGAGGCUGCUGUCUUUAGUGGUUUUGCUGAUGUAUUGUUGUUAUAAACAAUAGUUUUCGAGGCUGAUAUCAGUCUUGUGUGGCGGAAUUUGGAACUGUACUUUUCCAAUUGUUGCCACCAACAAUACAUGUAACAAAACUCUUGAACAAAACUCUUUCAUUCAUUUUGAUGCAUACAUGCCCUGUGAUUCAUGUCGUGAACUUCCACCAGCCUCUGAUACUAAGCUAGAGAUUAAAGAUGCAAGCUACGUGUUGGAUGGCAAGACUAAUGGCCAAGGUGAAACAAUCAAUCAAUCUGAUCCAACGGCAGUCCCUCGUUCUGAAAAUUUCUUUCAGGUUGGAAAAAGAAUGUGCAUAUCAUGAAGCACAAUGCAAGAAGUGCGAGUAUUAGUUGCACAGGAAGUUCUAUGUUUUUUCCCCUUUGCAACAACAUUGGUGUAUAUAUAUACACACGCACAUGUAUAUCUUAGUUUACGAUGUUAGGAUUUGUUAGUUUUGUUCACAUCAAAUUUUAUGUACAAAUAUUAGCUAUGUUACCAAUAUAAAUUAUGUUUUUCCAA